rnacentral:rRNA from 1 species
UACGUAGGGUGCGAGCGUUGUCCGGAAUUACUGGGCGUAAAGAGCUCGUAGGUGGUUUGUCGCGUUGUCCGUGAAAUUCCCUGGCUUAACCUGGGCACUGCAGUUGAAACUGGCAAGCUAGAGUAGGGUAGAGGCAGAUGGAAUUCCCGGUGUAGCGGUGGAAUGCGUAGAGAUCGGGAAGAACAUCGGUGGCGAAGGCGGUCUGCUGGGCCGUUGCUGACGCUGAGGCGCGACAGCGUGGGGAGCAAACAGG